CUCUAUUUAUAUCCAAACGUUAAUUUUUUAUCUGAGAAUUAUAAUUCUCGAUUAGCUAUAAUAACCGGGUAUAACUAUCUCCAUCAAUACCUCCAUUUUUUAUAUAUAACUAUCAACUAUUUUUCUUAUUCCAUAUUAUCUAUCCAAACGCUAUUUUUUUUUAUCCUAAGGAACAACCCAAUUUUUAUCCAAACGCUAUUUUUUUAUCUCCAUACUUAUACCUAUCCCUGUAAUAGCUAGUUCUUACUUAUAUCCGAACCAAACGCUUAGGGUAUCAAAGGUGUUAUUAUAAGUAUUUUUCUUACGUUCAAAAUAGUGAAGAGCCGAGUUGAGCCGAGUCAUGUUCGAGCCACAAUCAAGACCCCUAAGUACUGUGUCUAUACGUUUUAAGUGAAUUGAUUGUAUAUUUCUAAUAGCUCGAGUUUUUAGAAUUAAUGGUUAGUGUCAACGAUUCUACAUCGGUAGAUUCUCCAAUACGACCUUACAAUACGGACAUGAAAACUUUCAGAUCAGAACAAAACUUU
rnacentral:lncRNA from 1 species